rnacentral:rRNA from 1 species
CCUACGGGGGGCAGCAGUGGGGAAUAUUGGACAAUGGGCGAAAGCCUGAUCCAGCCAUGCCGCGUGUGUGAAGAAGGCCUUCGGGUUGUAAAGCACUUUCAGUGGGGAAGAAAGCCUUGGGGCUAAUACCCUCGAGGAAGGACAUCACCCACAGAAGAAGCACCGGCUAACUCCGUGCCAGCAGCCGCGGUAAUAUGGAGGGUGCGAGCGUUAAUCGGAAUUACUGGGCGUAAAGCGCGCGUAGGCGGUCUGAUAAGCCGGUUGUGAAAGCCCCGGGCUCAACCUGGGAACGGCAUCCGGAACUGUCAGGCUAGAGUGCAGGAGAGGAAGGUAGAACUCCCGGUGUAGCGGUGAAAUGCGUAGAGAUCGGGAGGAAUACCAGUGGCGAAGGCGGCCUUCUGGACUGACACUGACGCUGAGGUGCGAAAGCGUGGGUAGCAAACAGGAUUAGAUACCCCAGUAGUC